rnacentral:rRNA from 1 species
GAGUUUGAUCGUGGCUCAGAUUGAACGCUGGCGGCAUGCCUUACACAUGCAAGUCGAACGGCAGCAUGAUCUAGCUUGCUAGAUUGAUGGCGAGUGGCGAACGGGUGAGUAAUACAUCGGAACGUGCCCUGUAGUGGGGGAUAACUAGUCGAAAGAUUAGCUAAUACCGCAUACGACCUGAGGGUGAAAGUGGGGGACCGCAAGGCCUCAUGCUAUAGGAGCGGCCGAUGUCUGAUUAGCUAGUUGGUGGGUAAAGGCCCGACCAAGGCGACGAUCAGUAGCUGGUCUGAGAGGACGAUCAGCCACACUGGGACUGAGACACGGCCCAGACUCCUACGGGAGGCAGCAGUGGGGAAUUUGGACAAUGGGCGAAGCCUGAUCCAGCAAUGCCGCGUGUGUGAAGAAGGCCUCGGUGUAAG